rnacentral:rRNA from 1 species
UGAGGAAUAUUGGUCAAUGGACGAGAGUCUGAACCAGCCAAGUAGCGUGAAGGAUGACUGCCCUAUGGGUUGUAAACUUCUUUUAUACGGGAAUAAAGUGAGGCACGUGUGCCUUUUUGUAUGUACCGUAUGAAUAAGGAUCGGCUAACUCCGUGCCAGCAGCCGCGGUAAUACGGAGGAUCCGAGCGUUAUCCGGAUUUAUUGGGUUUAAAGGGAGCGUAGGUGGAUUGUUAAGUCAGUUGUGAAAGUUUGCGGCUCAACCGUAAAAUUGCAGUUGAAACUGGCAGUCUUGAGUACAGUAGAGGUGGGCGGAAUUCGUGGUGUAGCGGUGAAAUGCUUAGAUAUCACGAAGAACUCCGAUUGCGAAGGCAGCUCACUAGACUGCAACUGACACUGAUGCUCGAAAGUGUGGGUAUCAAACAGGAUUAGAUACCCUGGUAGUCCACACAGUAAACGAUGAAUACUCGCUGUUUGCGAUAUACAGUAAGCGGCCAAGCGAAAGCAUUAAGUAUUCCACCUGGGGAGUACGCCGGCAACGGUGAAACUCAAAGGAAUUGACGGGGGCCCGCACAAGCGGAGGAACAUGUGGUUUAAUUCGAUGAUACGCGAGGAACCUUACCCGGGCUUAAAUUGCAUUUGAAUAAUCUGGAAACAGGUUAGCCGCAAGGCAAAUGUGAAGGUGCUGCAUGGUUGUCGUCAGCUCGUGCCGUGAGGUGUCGGCUUAAGUGCCAUAACGAGCGCAACCCUUAUCUUUAGUUACUAACAGGUCAUGCUGAGGACUCUAGAGAGACUGCCGUCGUAAGAUGUGAGGAAGGUGGGGAUGACGUCAAAUCAGCACGGCCCUUACGUCCGGGGCUACACACGUGUUACAAUGGGGGGUACAGAAGGCAGCUACCUGGCGACAGGAUGCUAAUCCCAAAAACCUCUCUCAGUUCGGAUCGAAGUCUGCAACCCGACUUCGUGAAGCUGGAUUCGCUAGUAAUCGCGCAUCAGCCAUGGCGCGGUGAAUACGUUCCC